rnacentral:rRNA from 1 species
GACGAACGCUGGCGGCGUGCUUAACACAUGCAAGUCGAACGAUGAAGCCUAGCUUGCUAGGUGGAUUAGUGGCGAACGGGUGAGUAAUACGUGAGUAACCUACCUUUAACUCUGGGAUAAGCCUGGGAAACUGGGUCUAAUACCGGAUACGACCAAUCUCCGCAUGGGGUGUUGGUGGAAAGCGUUAUGUAGUGGUUAUAGAUGGGCUCACGGCCUAUCAGCUUGUUGGUGAGGUAACGGCUCCCCAAGGCGACGACGGGUAGCCGGCCUGAGAGGGUGACCGGCCACACUGGGACUGAGACACGGCCCAGACUCCUACGGGAGGCAGCAGUGGGGAAUAUUGCACAAUGGGCGCAAGCCUGAUGCAGCGACGCCGCGUGAGGGAUGACGGCCUUCGGGUUGUAAACCUCUGUUAGCAGGGAAGAAGAGAAAUUGACGGUACCUGCAGAGAAAGCGCCGGCUAACUACGUGCCAGCAGCCGCGGUAAUACGUAGGGCGCGAGCGUUGUCCGGAAUUAUUGGGCGUAAAGAGCUUGUAGGCGGUUUGUCGCGUCUGCUGUGAAGGCCGGGGCUUAACCCCGUGUAUUGCAGUGGGUACGGGCAGACUAGAGUGCAGUAGGGGAGACUGGAAUUCCUGGUGUAGCGGUGGAAUGCGCAGAUAUCAGGAGGAACACCGAUGGCGAAGGCAGGUCUCUGGGCUGUAACUGACGCUGAGAAGCGAAAGCAUGGGGAGCGAACAGGAUUAGAUACCCUGGUAGUCCAUGCCGUAAACGUUGGGCACUAGGUGUGGGGAACAUUCCACGUUUUCCGCGCCGUAGCUAACGCAUUAAGUGCCCCGCCUGGGGAGUACGGCCGCAAGGCUAAAACUCAAAGAAAUUGACGGGGGCCCGCACAAGCGGCGGAGCAUGCGGAUUAAUUCGAUGCAACGCGAAGAACCUUACCAAGGCUUGACAUAUACUGGACCGCAUCAGAGAUGGUGUUUCCCUUCGGGGCUGGUGUACAGGUGGUGCAUGGUUGUCGUCAGCUCGUGUCGUGAGAUGUUGGGUUAAGUCCCGCAACGAGCGCAACCCUCGUUCUAUGUUGCCAGCACGUAAUGGUGGGGACUCAUAGGAGACUGCCGGGGUCAACUCGGAGGAAGGUGGGGAUGACGUCAAAUCAUCAUGCCCCUUAUGUCUUGGGCUUCACGCAUGCUACAAUGGCCGGUACAGAGGGUUGCGAUACUGUGAGGUGGAGCUAAUCCCUAAAAGCCGGUCUCAGUUCGGAUUGGGGUCUGCAACUCGACCCCAUGAAGUCGGAGUCGCUAGUAAUCGCAGAUCAGCAACGCUGCGGUGAAUACGUUCCCGGGCCU